rnacentral:rRNA from 1 species
GACAGAGGUGCCAAGCGUUAGGCGGAAUCACUGGGCUUAAAGCGUGUGUAGGCGGAUUGGUAAGUACCUUGUGAAAUCCCGGGGCUCAACUCCGGAACUGCACUGGAUACUGCUUUGCUAGAGUACUGGAGAGGGAACUGGAAUUUACGGUGUAGCAGUGAAAUGCGUAGAUAUCGUAAGGAAGACCAGCGGCGAAGGCGAGUUCCUGGACAGUAACUGACGCUGAGGCACGAAGGCCAGGGGAGCAAACGGG